CUUUAAUCCAUGUGAGUGUAGAAUUUUAGAUCAGGACUUUAAAUCAUGGCCACUUUUGUUUUGUCCUACAUACCUCCUUUCUACCUAACCUUAUAUCUUCUGUUUCUCUGAUAUAUGUGCUAGUUUCUCUUUGCCCAUCAACAACACAUAGAAUCUCAAAAAGCCAGUCCAAAUGGCAGUCUUACCUUCAAAGUGUACAGGUUCUAGGACCACUGCCAACUCCUUAGAAUCUCUUAAUUACAAAUUUAUGGGAAUCUGAAAGUAAUUGGUCCAACUUUUGUGGAGAAUAAUGAAAAUGCACAUAAGGGUAUAUCCCUGAGGAGGGCUAUGAUUCCUAGAAAAGGAGAAAAAAACAAGUUCCCCUACAGAUCUCUCCUUCAU
rnacentral:lncRNA from 1 species